GGGGAUUAAGCUCAGUGGUAGAGCGCUUGCCUAGCAAGUGCAAGACCCUGGGUUCAGUCCCCA
rnacentral:tRNA from 1 species